rnacentral:miRNA from 14 species
UCUCAUCUGAUCUCGGAAGCUAAGCAGGGUCGGGCUUGGUUAGUAUUUGGAUGGGAGACU